rnacentral:tRNA from 1 species
GGGAUCGUAGCUCAGCUGGGAGAGCGUCUGACUGGCAGUCAGAAGGUCGCCGGUUCGAUUCCGGCCGGUUCCACCG